UUAGGACCUGGGAGAUAUCGGGACUGGGAAUGGACAGAAUGACGUUUCCUAUAAGGUGACGCGAGAAUUCCGUUCUGACACGGCAGCUCGCGUUUGUACGGAAGUGCUUGAAUCCAGCGUGGGAAUGAAACAGUGUACUGAACCAAAAGACUGCCUGUCCGAACACAGUUGGCACAGAACACCACUCAAUCUUCUGGGAGAGGAGAAAGCUGCCCUGAAUGGGCCAGGGAUGUGCUGAGGAUUUUGAAAGCAGGAAGCUCUAGGGAGAAGCUACAUACUGACAGAGGGGUCUCUGAGAUCGGCCCAAACUUCUCAUCACAUCUGUGAGAAGCUUGCUUGAGACCUGCUGCUGCCACAGGUUGCGAGGAGAGAGAGCUGCAGAGGGGGAGGAUAGGAGGCAGUGGGAAAGCGAUGUACUUUUAAGCAUACUUGUUUCAUGACGACCCCCUACUCUGCUGCCCAUGCUGCUUGUUGAGGUAUUGUUCUCAGGUGCCUGAAGGGUGGAGCAGAGGAUCAUUGGUGCAAUUGGGAAUACCUGUGUCCAGGGCUCCUAGAGAGAUUAAGAUGCCUGUCUCCUGUUUGAGAGAGAGCUCUCCCCAUCUUUUGGCUUCUGUUAAGGUGCUGGCUGUGUUUUUGGUUUUAUACCAUACAGCAUUGCUUCAGCAUAUUUUCACACAUCCACUCACCUACACUAGUGAUAAUGCUUUCACACCCCACGUUUGUCCUCGUUUUGGUAUACUUAGAUUAUUUAAAAAAAUAAAUGUGAACUUGCUUUUUAAAUGUGUCAGUGUGCAUCUCUGUUUUUGUCAUGGCACAUGAGCCAGGUCCUGACAAGCAUUUAGUAUACAAUAUAUUGAAUUUUACACCUCUAAAGACCCAUAAUAUCAUUUCAGUGUUUCCCAUACAAUGAAUAUAUUACAUCUCCCCCCGCCAAAAAAAGAUUUUUUCAGUACUUAGUUGCUUAUUUCUAUAAGCAACACGCUAUACCAUUGUGUUCGUUAUUUUUUUCUUUUAAUUGUGAAAGUGACAUACAGCUGACUCUCGUUUCCCUGCGUGAGCUGACCCUCCUCCUCCCACUUGGAGCUGGUGCAUGUAGAGCAGAGUAGGGAGGACAGUGCCUGAAUGAACGCAUAAUUAGAAUGAUAGUCAUGUGACCGUAUCUGUGUCAGAUGACAAAAUAUUCUUUCAAAAUCUGUAAAAUCUUUAUGCAAGGUUUCUUCAAUAGAACAUGGCCUCUGCCCUAAUCAAGACAAAAAAAUUAUCAACAUUAUUUUGA